rnacentral:rRNA from 1 species
GAUGAACGCUGGCGGCGUGCCUAAUACAUGCAAGUCGAGCGAACGGACGAGAAGCUUGCUUCUCUGAUGUUAGCGGCGGACGGGUGAGUAACACGUGGAUAACCUACCUAUAAGACUGGGAUAACUUCGGGAAACCGGAGCUAAUACCGGAUGAUAUUUUGAACCGCAUGGUUCAAAAGUGAAAGACGGUCUUGCUGUCACUUAUAGAUGGAUCCGCGCUGCAUUAGCUAGUUGGUAAGGUAACGGCUUACCAAGGCAACGAUGCAUAGCCGACCUGAGAGGGUGAUCGGCAAAACGGGAACUGAGACACGGUCCAGACUCCUACGGGAGGCAGCAGUAGGGAAUCUUCCGCAAUGGGCGAAAGCCUGACGGAGCAACGCCGCGUGAGUGAUGAAGGUCUUCGGAUCGUAAAACUCUGUUAUUAGGGAAGAACAUAUGUGUAAGUAACUGUGCACAUCUUGACGGUACCUAAUCAGAAAGCCACGGCUAACUACGUG